AUUGAACGCUGGCGGCAGGCCUAACACAUGCAAGUCGAGCGUGCCGCGGACUGGUGUGUACUUUAUGGGGAUCUGCCCGAUCGCGGGGGAUAACUUCUGGAACCGGUGGCUACUACCGCAUCCUUUCGUAUGAUCCCAUAUGUGUUUAGCUCGUAGGUGGGGUAAAGGCUCACCUAGGCGACGAUCUCUUGCUGGACUGAGAGGAUGAUCGGCCACACUGGGACGGAGACACGGCCCAGACUCCUACGGGAGGCAGCAGUGGGGAAUAUUGCACAAUGGGCGCAAGCCUGAUGCAGCCAUGCCGCGUGUAUGAAGAAGGCCUUAGGGUUGUAAAGUACUUUCAGCGGGGAGGCGUUACCCGGAGAAGAAGCACCGGCUAACUCCGUGCCAGCAGCCGCGGUAAUUA
rnacentral:rRNA from 1 species